rnacentral:rRNA from 1 species
GUUGUGCCCUUGAGGCGUGGCUUCCGGAGCUAACGCGUUAAGUCGACCGCCUGGGGAGUACGGCCGCAAGGUUAAAACUCAAAUGAAUUGACGGGGGCCCGCACAAGCGGUGGAGCAUGUGGUUUAAUUCGAUGCAACGCGAAGAACCUUACCUGGUCUUGACAUCCACAGAAGUUUUCAGAGAUGAGAAUGUGCCUUCGGGAACCGUGAGACAGGUGCUGCAUGGCUGUCGUCAGCUCGUGUUGUGAAAUGUUGGGUUAAGUCCCGCAACGAGCGCAACCCUUAUCCUUUGUUGCCAGCGGUCCGGCCGGGAACUCAAAGGAGACUGCCAGUGAUAAACUGGAGGAAGGUGGGGAUGACGUCAAGUCAUCAUGGCCCUUACGACCAGGGCUACACACGUGCUACAAUGGCGCAUACAAAGAGAAGCGGCCUCGCGAGAGCAAGCGGACCUCAUAAAGUGCGUCGUAGUCCGGAUUGGAGUCUGCAACUCGACUCCAUGAAGUCGGAAUCGCUAGUAAUCGUGGAUCAGAAUGCCACGGUGAAUACGUUCCC